GAAAUUGUCGUCUUCGGCGCUGAGCAAGGCAUUGAUGAAAUUGGGCGGGAUGUCGGCGAAACGGAUCGGCGUGCGGCGCAUUUCGCCAAAUUCAGCGAUCAAUUUGUCGUCGCUGCUGUAUACCCGCAAUGGAAUCUGCAACUGAAUGCUUCUCAGUGUCUCCACGGAUGGCAAUCCGGGGCUAAGGUAUAAAAACGCGCCGCUCAGACCAAGGAGCAGUCCGCAGAAGACGGCGACGAUGGACCACCCGAAAAAUUUCAGCAGACGAAUCAAGGCUUUUGGAUAUCCAGGCAA
rnacentral:antisense_RNA from 1 species